GACGAACGCUGGCGGCGUGCUUAACACAUGCAAGUCGAACGGAAAGGCCCUGCUUUUGUGGGGUGCUCGAGUGGCGAACGGGUGAGUAACACGUGAGUAACCUGCCCUUGACUUUGGGAUAACUUCAGGAAACUGGGGCUAAUACCGGAUAGGAGCUCCUGCUGCAUGGUGGGGGUUGGAAAGUUUCGGCGGUUGGGGAUGGACUCGCGGCUUAUCAGCUUGUUGGUGGGGUAGUGGCUUACCAAGGCUUUGACGGGUAGCCGGCCUGAGAGGGUGACCGGCCCAGCUGGGGAUGAGAUGAGGCCCGGACCCGUAUGGGAGGGGAGGGAGGGGGAUGGUAGACCAAGGGAGGGGGGCAGGUGCGAGAACGCCGGGGUGCGGGAGACGGGCCUGCGGUUGGAAACCGCUUUCGCCUGUGACGAAGCGUGAGUGACGGUAAUGGGUAAAGAAGCACCGGCUAACUACGUG
rnacentral:rRNA from 1 species